rfam:Oryza nivara chromosome 5, whole genome shotgun sequence.
AAUAAAGCAAAUCCUGAGUUUCCCUGUCCAACUUUAACUGUUCAUCUUAUAUAAAUUUUUUUUAUAAUUCGUAUUUUUAUUAUUGUUAAAUGAUAAAACAUGAUUAAAAUUUUAUGCAUGACUUAUCUUUUUAUUUUUUUAUAAUUUUUUUAAAUAAGACGGACGGUUAAACGUUGGGCAUGAAAACAGGGUU